AGAUGAUGUGCAGUUCAUGUUAGAUUUGCUAUUUCUACAGUUAUGGUGAAGUAGAAGAGUCUGGUCGUGUUAUGGGGCAGCAGUUAAAGAAGGAUGGAGAGAUGUGUGCAAUGUUGCCAUUGUCAAGUGAUCACGAGUUUAUUCCAAUGUUGCCCCACCGUCUCCACGAUCUGUUACAUCAACUCCAACUGUCUGUGAAAGAAGAAAAGUUCACAAGACGUCCUGAAAUGGAAUUGUGAUUGGACUGAGACGGCCACAAUUAUGUAUGCUGGGUUGUGCAGAGGGGGUCAGCGUGGGCUUUGGCUUGGGACCCUCAGAAGUUUAUUAUCUCCAGUAUCCUUGAAGGCUGCAAGUUUGUCCUUGUUCUCGA